AUGCACCAACACCGCCAGCAGAAACCGUCCACGCGGAUACCCUCAACCUCAGAUGUCUCGCCCCUGCAAGGCAGGCCGUGCUCUGAGCCACCACCAGGAGGACUUGGGGGGAAGGAACACCAGGGUGGUGGUCAACGGUUCCCAAAACUAUCACAUGGACGAUUCCAGAAACAAUUCACAGUUCACACUGCACUUCAGAGUAACAUCAUGGGGUCCACCCCAUCCCACUCCAUCCUGCCCAGGACACAAUCACCCGUGUGCCCAGCGUGUCCACACACGUGCACGGCCCUCCUGCCACUGCUCUGCCCAGCAUGUCCACACACGUGCAUGGCCCUCCUGCCACUGCUCUGCCCAGCAUGUCCACACACGUGCACGGCCCUCCUGCCACGGCUCUGCCCAGCGUGUCCACACACGUGCACAGCCCUCCUGCCAAUUCUCCACCCAGCAUGUCCACACACGUGCACAGCCCUCCUGCCACUUCUCCACCCAGCGUGUCCACACACGUGCACGGCCCUCCUGCCACGGCUCUGCCCAGCGUGUCCACACUCAUGCAUGAACCUCCUGCCACUUCUCCACCCAGCAUGUCCACAUGCAUCAGGGCCCUCCUGCCACUUCUCCACCCAGCGUGUCCACACACAUGCACAGCCCUCCUGCCACUGCUCUGCCCAGCAUGUCCACACACGUGCACGGCCCUCCUGCCAUGGCUCUGCCCAGCGUGUCCACACACAUCACAGUCCUCCUGCCACGGCUCUGCCCAGCGUGUCCACACACGUCACGGUCCUCCUGCCACGGCUCUGCCCAGCGUGUCCACACAUGUCACGGCCCUCCUACCACGGCUCUGCCCAGCGUGUCCACACGCGUCACGGUCCUCCUACCACAGCUCUGCCCAGCGUGUCCACACACGUGCACGGCCCUCCUGCCACUGCUCUGCCCAGCAUGUUCACACGCGUCACGGUCCUCCUGCCAUGGCUCUGCCCAGCGUGCCCACACGCGUCACGGUCCUCCUGCAGACUGCUUGGUGGCACCCCACUCUCUGGAACAGCGGCUCUCCCAGAGGGUCCACAGAGCGAGAGCCUGUAG
rnacentral:lncRNA from 1 species